rnacentral:rRNA from 1 species
CGUGCUUAACACAUGCAAGUCGAACGGUGAAGCCAAGCUUGCUUGGUGGAUCAGUGGCGAACGGGUGAGUAACACGUGAGCAACCUGCCCUGAACUCUGGGAUAAGCGCUGGAAACGGCGUCUAAUACUGGAUAUGAGCUGCGGAGGCAUCUUCGUGGUUGGAAAGAUUUUUCGGUUUGGGAUGGGCUCGCGGCCUAUCAGCUUGUUGGUGAGGUAAUGGCUCACCAAGGCGUCGACGGGUAGCCGGCCUGAGAGGGUGACCGGCCACACUGGGACUGAGACACGGCCCAGACUCCUACGGGAGGCAGCAGUGGGGAAUAUUGCACAAUGGGCGGAAGCCUGAUGCAGCAACGCCGCGUGAGGGAUGACGGCCUUCGGGUUGUAAACCUCUUUUAGCAGGGAAGAAGCGAAAGUGACGGUACCUGCAGAAAAAGCGCCGGCUAACUACGUGCCAGCAGCCGCGGUAAUACGUAGGGCGCAAGCGUUAUCCGGAAUUAUUGGGCGUAAAGAGCUCGUAGGCGGUUUGUCGCGUCUGCUGUGAAAACCCGAGGCUCAACCUCGGGCCUGCAGUGGGUACGGGCAGACUAGAGUGCGGUAGGGGAGAUUGGAAUUCCUGGUGUAGCGGUGGAAUGCGCAGAUAUCAGGAGGAACACCGAUGGCGAAGCAGAUCUCUGGGCCGUAACUGACGCUGAGGAGCGAAAGGUUGGGGAGCAAACAGGCUUAGAUACCCUGGUAGUCCACCCCGUAAACGUUGGAACUAGUUGUGGGGUCCAUUCCACGGAUUCCGUGACGCAGCUAACGCAUUAAGUUCCCCGCCUGGGGAGUACGGCCGCAAGGCUAAAACUCAAAGGAAUUGACGGGGACCCGCACAAGCGGCGGAGCAUGCGGAUUAAUUCGAUGCAACGCGAAGAACCUUACCAAGGCUUGACAUACACGAGAACGCUGCAGAAAUGUAGAACUCUUUGGACACUCGUGAACAGGUGGUGCAUGGUUGUCGUCAGCUCGUGUCGUGAGAUGUUGGGUUAAGUCCCGCAACGAGCGCAACCCUCGUUCUAUGUUGCCAGCACGUAAUGGUGGGAACUCAUGGGAUACUGCCGGGGUCAACUCGGAGGAAGGUGGGGAUGACGUCAAAUCAUCAUGCCCCUUAUGUCUUGGGCUUCACGCAUGCUACAAUGGCCGGUACAAAGGGCUGCAAUACCGCGAGGUGGAGCGAAUCCCAAAAAGCCGGUCCCAGUUCGGAUUGAGGUCUGCAACUCGACCUCAUGAAGUCGGAGUCGCUAGUAAUCGCAGAUCAGCAACGCUGCGGUGAAUACGUUCCCGGGUCUUGUACACACCGCCCGUCAAGUCAUGAAAGUCGGUAACACCUGAAGCCGGUGGCCCAACCCUUGUGGAGGGAGCCGUCG